rnacentral:rRNA from 1 species
GCAGGCUUAACACAUGCAAGUCGAGCGCUCGCAGCAAUGCGGGAGCGGCAGACGGGUGAGUAUCGCGUGGGAACAUACCCUCCGGUUCGGAAUAACUCAGGGAAACUUGAGCUAAUACCGGAUACGGCUUAGCGGCGAAAGAUUUAUCGCCGGAGGAUUGGCCCGCGUCCGAUUAGCUAGUUGGUGAGGUAAUGGCUCACCAAGGCGACGAUCGGUAGCUGGUCUGAGAGGAUGAUCAGCCACGUUGGGACUGAGACACGGCCCAAACUCCUACGGGAGGCAGCAGUGGGGAAUAUUGGACAAUGGGCGCAAGCCUGAUCCAGCCAUGCCGCGUGAGUGAUGACGGCCUUAGGGUUGUAAAGCUCUUUCGCUAGGGACGAUAAUGACGGUACCUAGAUAAGAAGCCCCGGCUAACUUCGUGCCAGCAGCCGCGGUAAUACGAAGGGGGCUAGCGUUGUUCGGAAUUACUGGGCGUAAAGCGCGUGUAGGCGGGCUUUUAAGUCAGGGGUGAAAUGCCAAGGCUCAACCUUGGAACUGCCUUUGAUACUGGAAGUCUUGAGUCCGGGAGAGGUGAGUGGAACUGCGAGUGUAGAGGUGAAAUUCGUAGAUAUUCGCAAGAACACCAGUGGCGAAGGCGGCUCACUGGCCCGGAACUGACGCUGAGACGCGAAAGCGUGGGGAGCAAACAGGAUUAGAUACCCUGGUAGUCCACGCUGUAAACGAUGGAUGCUAGCCGUUGGGGAGCUUGCUCUUCAGUGGCGCAGCUAACGCUUUAAGCAUCCCGCCUGGGGAGUACGGUCGCAAGAUUA